GGCAGUGUAGUAUAGUGGCUAAGGAGUUAGUCUUGUGACCUAAAGGUCGCGGGUUCGAUUCCCCGGUAGGACACUGCCG
rnacentral:tRNA from 1 species